GAAAUUAGAGGAAAUUUUGGAUCUAGCCUUUUGUUGUGAAUAGUUUUUUGUUUCAAUUAAAGAAUUAGGCAUAGCAUUGUUGUGAAAGACAAUUUGUCUUGCGAUGCACUAAAAGUUUGAUUUAUUUCAGAUUCCUAAUCCACCUUAUAUAUGUUAGAGCUGUCAGAGCUUGCCUUUGAUAUUUAAACAAGUUUUUUAUACAUUUUGCCUUUGCUAUUGUUACACUUUUGCUCCUUAGUUUUAGUUGGCUAUUGUGGGGGCGAGCCCUAGAGGAACGGUAAAGUUAUGACUUGAUCAGGCCUUUACACUGUGCGAAACCUUCAAAGGUACCGUGAUACGAUACUUGAGUUAGCUAUCGUAAUCUCGAUAAAAUCUCAUGACAGUUGAGAAUUUUUAGCAAAUUUCAAAUUGGUCGAAGCCUUUCUUUCUUCAAUUUUUAUCUCUGCUAGUUCCAGUAUUUUGGUUUAUUUUCAAACUGAUACUUAACUGGUACGAAGACCUGGCUUCCUAUGUGUUUUGAGGCAAACAAAUUGACCGCAAAUACUGGCAAAGUUGAGCAAUUUAUUUUUCAGGCAUCCGGGUAAAGUAUCUCUACUUCUAGCAAUUCAUCUAUAAUUCCUUUGUUUAAAGGUGAGAUCUACACAUUUGGAAUCAUGCAACCAGAAUUCUGAGGUUGCUGGCCAAGAAUAAGAAACUAUAAAACCACACAUUUUAUAGUUUGAAGCAAGCAGAAUUUACUCUUAAUCCAACUUGGAUUCAGGAUUGAAAAUGAAACUAAUCUGCAUUUGAAACAAAAUGAUUGUGAUUUGUAAACUUGCACUCUUUAUGUUGUUAACAUGGUUGUGAUAUGAAGUAAUUUACUUUUGC
rnacentral:lncRNA from 1 species